rnacentral:rRNA from 1 species
AUCGUAACAAGGUUUCCGUAGGUGAACCUGCGGAAGGAUCAUUACACACUGUGCCAUGCCUACAGGUGCCAAAACCUGCAGGCAUAGCCAGCUAACCCUUGCCUAUUUCCACCUUUUGUGAACCCCUCGGCGGGGACGCCUGCCGCUGGGACCCCCAAACUCUACUGUAUGAAAAGCAUCCAAAUUUUCUGAAUCCAACUAAAAUUAUUACAACUUUCAACAAUGGAUCUCUUGGUUCUGGCAUCGAUGAAGAACGCAGCGAAAUGCGAUAAGUAGUGUGAAUUGCAGACUUUAGUGAAUCAUCGAAUCUUUGAACGCACAUUGCGCCCCUUGGAAUUCCAUUGGGCAUGCCUGUUCGAGCGUCAUUUAAACCCUUCAAGCAUUGCUUGGUGUUGGGUGUUUGUCUACGCUGAUGGUAUAGACUCGCCCCAAAAGUAUUGGCAGCAGUUUGCCGGCCUCUUGCGCAGCACUUUGCGCUAUUUGAGGUUUUCGUAGGCUUGACUUCCAUUAAGAUCUUCCCCAUUUUGACCUCGAAUCAGGUAGGGAUACCCGCUGAACUUAAGCAUAUCAA